rnacentral:tRNA from 1 species
GGAUCUUUAGUUUAAUGGUCGAACACAUAAGCGUCACUUAUGAAAAUUGGGGUUCGAGUCCCCAAAGAUUCG